rnacentral:rRNA from 1 species
UACGGAGGGGGCGAGCGUUAUUCGGAAUUAUUGGGCGUAAAGGGCGCGUAGGCGGCUUGACAAGUCAAAGGUGAAAUCCCUCGGCUCAACUGAGGAACUGCCUUUGAAACUGUCUGGCUUGAGGCCGGGAGGGGGUAGCGGAAUUCCCAGUGUAGCGGUGAAAUGCGUAGAUAUUGGGAGGAACAUCAGUGGCGAAGGCGGCCUGCUGGGCCAGUACUGACACUCAAGUGCGAAAGCGUGGGGAGCAAACAGG